GGAAUUUCGGCAAUGGGGGAAACCCUGACCGAGCAACGCCGCGUGAAGGAAGAAGUAAUUCGUUAUGUAAACUUCUGUCAUAGAGGAAGAACGGUGGAUAUAGGGAAUGAUAUCCAAGUGACGGUACUCUAUAAGAAAGCCACGGCUAACUACGUGCCAGCAGCCGCGGUAAUACGUAGGUGGCGAGCGUUAUCCGGAAUUAUUGGGCGUAAAGAGGGAGCAGGCGGCACUAAGGGUCUGUGGUGAAAGAUCGAAGCUUAACUUCGGUAAGCCAUGGAAACCGUAGAGCUAGAGUGUGUGAGAGGAUCGUGGAAUUCCAUGUGUAGCGGUGAAAUGCGUAGAUAUAUGGAGGAACACCAGUGGCGAAGGCGACGAUCUGGCGCAUAACUGACGCUCAGUCCCGAAAGCGUGGGGAGCAAAUAGGAUUAGAUACCCUAGUAGUCCACGCCGUAAACGAUGAGUACUAAGUGUUGGGGGUCAAAGCUCAGUGCUGCAGUUAACGCAAUAAGUACUCCGCCUGAGUAGUACGUUCGCAAGAAUGAAACUCAAAGGAAUUGACGGGGGCCCGCACAAGCGGUGGAGCAUGUGGUUUAAUUCGAAGCAACGCGAAGAACCUUA
rnacentral:rRNA from 1 species